rnacentral:rRNA from 4 species
AAAUUGAAGAGUUUGAUCAUGGCUCAGAUUGAACGCUGGCGGCAGGCCUAACACAUGCAAGUCGAACGGUAACAGGAAGCAGCUUGCUGCUUUGCUGACGAGUGGCGGACGGGUGAGUAAUGUCUGGGAAACUGCCUGAUGGAGGGGGAUAACUACUGGAAACGGUGGCUAAUACCGCAUAACGUCGCAAGACCAAAGAGGGGGACCUUCGGGCCUCUUGCCAUCAGAUGUGCCCAGAUGGGAUUAGCUUGUUGGUGAGGUAACGGCUCACCAAGGCGACGAUCCCUAGCUGGUCUGAGAGGAUGACCAGCCACACUGGAACUGAGACACGGUCCAGACUCCUACGGGAGGCAGCAGUGGGGAAUAUUGCACAAUGGGCGCAAGCCUGAUGCAGCCAUGCCGCGUGUAUGAAGAAGGCCUUCGGGUUGUAAAGUACUUUCAGCGGGGAGGAAGGUGUUGUGGUUAAUAACCACAGCAAUUGACGUUACCCGCAGAAGAAGCACCGGCUAACUCCGUGCCAGCAGCCGCGGUAAUACGGAGGGUGCAAGCGUUAAUCGGAAUUACUGGGCGUAAAGCGCACGCAGGCGGUCUGUCAAGUCGGAUGUGAAAUCCCCGGGCUCAACCUGGGAACUGCAUUCGAAACUGGCAGGCUUGAGUCUUGUAGAGGGGGGUAGAAUUCCAGGUGUAGCGGUGAAAUGCGUAGAGAUCUGGAGGAAUACCGGUGGCGAAGGCGGCCCCCUGGACAAAGACUGACGCUCAGGUGCGAAAGCGUGGGGAGCAAACAGGAUUAGAUACCCUGGUAGUCCACGCCGUAAACGAUGUCUACUUGGAGGUUGUGCCCUUGAGGCGUGGCUUCCGGAGCUAACGCGUUAAGUAGACCGCCUGGGGAGUACGGCCGCAAGGUUAAAACUCAAAUGAAUUGACGGGGGCCCGCACAAGCGGUGGAGCAUGUGGUUUAAUUCGAUGCAACGCGAAGAACCUUACCUGGUCUUGACAUCCACGGAACUUUCCAGAGAUGGAUUGGUGCCUUCGGGAACCGUGAGACAGGUGCUGCAUGGCUGUCGUCAGCUCGUGUUGUGAAAUGUUGGGUUAAGUCCCGCAACGAGCGCAACCCUUAUCCUUUGUUGCCAGCGGUCCGGCCGGGAACUCAAAGGAGACUGCCAGUGAUAAACUGGAGGAAGGUGGGGAUGACGUCAAGUCAUCAUGGCCCUUACGACCAGGGCUACACACGUGCUACAAUGGCGCAUACAAAGAGAAGCGACCUCGCGAGAGCAAGCGGACCUCAUAAAGUGCGUCGUAGUCCGGAUUGGAGUCUGCAACUCGACUCCAUGAAGUCGGAAUCGCUAGUAAUCGUGGAUCAGAAUGCCACGGUGAAUACGUUCCCGGGCCUUGUACACACCGCCCGUCACACCAUGGGAGUGGGUUGCAAAAGAAGUAGGUAGCUUAACCUUCGGGAGGGCGCUUACCACUUUGUGAUUCAUGACUGGGGUGAAGUCGUAACAAGGUAACCGUAGGGGAACCUGCGGUUGGAUCACCUCCUUACCUUAAAGAA